GUCAAGUUAGUUUAACCUAAAACGUCAGCCUGUGGAUUUGAAGAUGAAAGUUUUAUUUCACUUGACC
rnacentral:tRNA from 1 species